GCCAGACUCCUACGGGAGGCAGCAGUGAGGAAUAUUGGUCAAUGGACGCAAGUCUGAACCAGCCAUGCCGCGUGCAGGAUGACGGCUCUAUGAGUUGUAAACUGCUUUUGUACGAGGGUAAACCCCGAUACGUGUAUCGGGUUGAAAGUAUCGUACGAAUAAGGAUCGGCUAACUCCGUGCCAGCAGCCGCGGUAAUACGGAGGAUCCGAGCGUUAUCCGGAUUUAUUGGGUUUAAAGGGUGCGCAGGCGGAAUGUCAAGUCAGCGGUAAAAUUUCGGGGCUCAACCCCGUCGUGCCGUUGAAACUGGCGUUCUUGAGUGGGCGAGAAGUAUGCGGAAUGCGCGGUGUAGCGGUGAAAUGCAUAGAUAUCGCGCAGAACUCCGAUUGCGAAGGCAGCAUGCCGGCUCCACACUGACGCUGAGGCACGAAAGCGUGGGUAUCGAACAGGAUUAGAUACCCGCGUA
rnacentral:rRNA from 1 species